UACGUAGGGUGCGAGCGUUAAUCGGAAUUACUGGGCGUAAAGCGUGCGCAGGCGGUUUUGUAAGCCAGAUGUGAAAUCCCCGGGCUCAACCUGGGAAUGGCAUUUGGGACUGCAAGGCUGGAGUUUGGCAGAGGAGACUGGAAUUCCUGGUGUAGCAGCGAAAUGCGUAGAUAUCAGGAGGAAUACCGAUGGCGAAGGCAGGUCUCUGGGCUAUAACUGACGCUCAUGCACGAAAGCGUGGGGAGCAAACAGG
rnacentral:rRNA from 1 species